rnacentral:rRNA from 1 species
UAAUACGUAGGGGGCGAGCGUUGUCCGGAAUCACUGGGUGUAAAGGGUCUGCAAGCGGACCGGAAAGUCAGAGGUGAAAUCCUGCAGCUCAACUGUAGAACUGCCUUUGAAACUUCUGGUCUUGAGUCCGGGAGAGGAUGGCGGAAUUCCUGGUGUAGCGGUGAAAUGCGUAGAUAUCAGGAAGAACACCGGUGGUGAAGACGGCCAUCUGGACCGGUACUGACGCCCGGAGACGAAAGCGUGGGUAGCAAACAGG